CAGUCGCCGCGGUAAUACAGAGGGUGCAAGCGUUAAUCGGAAUUACUGGGCGUAAAGCGCGCGUAGGUGGUUCGCCAAGUUGGAUGUGAAAUCCCCGGGCUCAACCUGGGAACUGCAUCCAAAACUGGCGAGCUAGAGUAUGGUAGAGGGUGGUGGAAUUUCCUGUGUAGCGGUGAAAUGCGUAGAUAUAGGAAGGAACAUCAGUGGCGAAGGCGACCACCUGGACUGAUACUGACACUGAGGUGCGAAAGCGUGGGGAGCAAACAGGAUUAGAUCCCCUGUAGUCCCUGUCUCUUAUACA
rnacentral:rRNA from 1 species